UGGACCAAUGUUGUAAAUAUGUAAUGGACCAUGGAUUAAAAUUAAUCUAUUUCAGUACAACUGAGUUUCAUU
rnacentral:snoRNA from 1 species